GACGAACGCUGGCGGCGUGCCUAAUACAUGCAAGUUGAGCGCCGAAGGUUGGUACUUGUACCGACUGGAUGAGCAGCGAACGGGUGAGUAACGCGUGGGGAAUCUGCCUUUGAGCGGGGGACAACAUUUGGAAACGAAUGCUAAUACCGCAUAAAAACUUUAAACACAAGUUUUAAGUUUGAAAGAUGCCAUUGCAUCACUCAAAGAUGAUCCCGCGUUGUAUUAGCUAGUUGGUGAGGUAAAGGCUCACCAAGGCGAUGAUACAUAGCCGACCUGAGAGGGUGAUCGGCCACAUUGGGACUGAGACACGGCCCAAACUCCUACGGGAGGCAGCAGGAGGGAAUCUUCGGCAAGGGACGAAAGUCUGACCGAGCAACGCCGCGUGAGUGAAGAAGGUUUUCGGAUCGUAAAACUCGGUUGGUAGGGAAGAACGUUGGUGAGAGUGGAAAGCUCAUCAAGUGACGGUAACUACCCAGAAAGGGACGGCUAACUACGUG
rnacentral:rRNA from 1 species